rnacentral:rRNA from 1 species
ACUCCUACGGGAGGCAGCAGUGGGGAAUAUUGCACAAUGGGCGCAAGCCUGAUGCAGCCAUGCCGCGUGUAUGAAGAAGGCCUUCGGGUUGUAAAGUACUUUCAGCAGUGAGGAAGGUGGGUAUGUUAAUAGCAUACUCAUUUGACGUUAGCUGCAGAAGAAGCACCGGCUAACUCCGUGCCAGCAGCCGCGGUAAUACGGAGGGUGCGAGCGUUAAUCGGAAUUACUGGGCGUAAAGCGCAUGCAGGUGGUUUGUUAAGUCAGAUGUGAAAGCCCGGGGCUCAACCUCGGAAUUGCAUUUGAAACUGGCAAACUAGAGUACUGUAGAGGGGGUAGAAUUUCAGGUGUAGCGGUGAAAUGCGUAGAGAUCUGAAGGAAUACCGGUGGCGAAGGCGGCCCCCUGGACAGAUACUGACACUCAGAUGCGAAAGCGUGGGGAGCAAACAGGAUUAGAUACCCUGGUAGGUCAGU